CUGAGAAUCUGAACAGAUGCAAGGAGCUGAUCUGUUGAGUAAGGUGGUGUCAUUUUUGCAGUGUAACUGUCCAGAACAGAGUCAUACUUUAAAAGAUUUGUGUUUGUGCCAGAAGAGGAAUGGCUGAAUUGGAGAUUUAAAUGACAACUUCGCAGUAUCUGUGUUACUUUCACCCUGUCCAUGGUGGAAAAAAGAAAUUCAGCACCUGACGAACCCAUUCUUUCAUGCUUACGUGACUUGAAUGUUUAGCACCAAUCUUCCACAAAACCAUCAGCCUGUUACAUUUCAGCCUGGGCAGUGUGUUAUAAGCCAUACCCCGGCCAACAUGAAUGAAGGGGCCAGCUCUGGAGGAGAGAAACAAGAGCUGAAAUUCAAGAGAGCGAUCUUGCAGGACCAGAACAAGCCAGAAAAUAUGAUCCAAAGGCAACAGGUGAUCCGGCUCACCUAUUUGAUUACAGCCAUGGACCUGACCUGCUUGUUCAUGCAGAUUGGAAUCAUUCCAUACUUGGCGAAGAGCCUGGGAUUGGAUUCAGUUGGAUUUGGCUACCUCCAGACAACUUUUGGCGUUCUACAACUUCUGGGAGGUCCUAUUUUUGGAAGGUUUGCUGACAAGUGUGGCAUCCGAGCUGCGUUAACUCUUUCAUAUCUCUCUGGAUCUGCCUUCUUUCUGCUAGUGUCCAUCUCCACCAGCAUCCCACUUCUCUUCCUGUCCAGAAUUCCAUCCGUGUUUAUGCAUGGGCUACCAGGUGCUCAGAUGGUCAUUACAGAUCUGACUACUCCUGCUGAGCGUGCAGAUGCAUUAGGGAAGCUUGGACUAUGCUUUGGAAUAGGAGUAAUCAUUGGAUCAUCCCUGGGUGGGACACUCAGCACAAAAUUUGGCGUGUACUUUCCGUCGUAUCUUGCGGUAGUGGCAAGUCUCAUAAGUGCAAUGAUAGUAAUGACGUGUAUCCCUGCUCACACCAAACCAAAGUCAGAAGGACAAGCUACACAGCAGCGCACAUCACAGUCCAGUGUGUUUAGUCUCAAAGAAAUCCUACGCCUGCUGAAGCUUCCGGGAGUAAAGGAAGUGUUCUUAAUCAAGGUCCUUUCCGGACUCCCUACAGGUUUGUUCUUGAUUAUGUUUUCCAUCAUAUCUAUGAAUUUCUUUGGGCUGGAGGCAGCACAGACUGGAUAUCUGAUGUCAUAUUUCGGUGUCCUUCAAAUGGUUGUCCAGGGUCUGGUAAUUGGAAGACUAACUAGUCGCUUUACAGAGAGGACCCUGAUCAUGUUGAGUGUCUUAGCCUUCAGUGGAGUGGGCCUUGCUAUGGCGCUGAUGACGAACGUGUUCCAUUAUUGCAUCAUUGCCCUCCCCAUGGUAUUUGCACUCUGCACUAUGGGCAUCAUUACGGACAGCAUUCUCACCAAGUCCGUCCCUCCUUCUGACACUGAUCUUCUCCUUCACAACUUAUCUGAAAGACUGCUAGCAGUCACCGUGAGGAGCCAAAUGAUCUGUUAACACCCUUUUGCACAAUUCUGUCAAUGACAAGACGCUAUAAACUUUCUGCAUCUGGCCAGAGCCUGGGGCACCUCACAGAAGGAAGUUUGGGAAGGAAUACUACGUCAAAUUCUUCUCCAACUAUUAAAGCUUUUGGGAAACCAUCUUUUUUCCUACUUGUCCUGUAGCGAAGCAAGUCUGGUGUGUACACAAAGCUUUUAUCAUGGACAACUGCACUGUCACAACAAUCAACAAUAUAAACAGUCACACAAUGAAGUGUGAAGAGAGGCUGUGAGUAGAAGUUAAAUAUUUGAGGAAAAAAAUUAGACUAAAGUCAGUUUGCAUGGAUUUAAAAACCCAAUAGAGUAAUUUACUGGACAAACAUCCUAGUGUAGCAUUUUCAAACAGUAAUGUAUUAAUGCAUAAGAAUCAGAAAGACGUUUACUCUGUGGUAGCUGAGAGAAAACAAGAUCACUCGUAAAUUUGAUUUUUCUAAAAAUAUUCUGACAGGACCCCAUGUCUCAGCUACCUAACAAAACACUGCCAGCUCUAAGCUCUUAUAGUUUUUUCCAUUUAAGAGCAGUGAUAAUAGUACAGGAGUCCGAACAAGUAUAAAAACAAGUUAUGGGGUGUUAAGGCACCAAAAUGGGACUUCCUUAUGGAAACUGAAUGCAAGUAAUUAUGUUUUGCAAAUGUUGCUGCCUUGCAGAUGUCCAUGACAAAUAUCUUUCAGGCAAGCACUGCAGGCCACUUCGCUUGAUUCAAAAAGAGGAUUGUCAUGACCUACUGUCAAGGCAAUGACUGCUAUUAUAAACUGUCUCAAAAAUUGUAGAUUUACAGUUGAAGUCCAUGAAUACUUUCUGGUGUACUUACCAAUACUUCGGCUUCCUGAUAACCUAGAUGUUUUAAAGUUCAAUCAUGAUAAGCCAGACAUAACUGAUUUAACUUAAUCUCUGCAGGUGAGUGCCAAAUGAUUCCCUGUGUGCGCUCAUUUAUAAACUCCACUAGUAGUUUAGCUUUUUCCUUGCACAGAUAAGAUUACAUUAGAAGUCUGACUUCACUUUUUUUUUUUUUUUUUUUUUUUUUUUUUUUACACAGUUUGUCAAAGUACACACCUAAACAGCAGCUCAGAGGUAUAAUUCCCAGCUCAGGUAGACUUAUGCAUGCUAGCUCUGCUUGGGCUAGAAAUGACAAAUAGCAGUGCGGCCGUGCAGCUAUGGGUGGCAGCUCAGGCUAACCACACAAGUAUGAAUGCAGGAGGUUGAGUGGGACUACUUAAAUGGGCUACUAAACUGCUGUGGCCACCCAGUUAUUUUAGGCAUUAGCAUGAGCUUAGCUAGUGUGUGUAGGUCUAUUUGAGCUAGGAAUCGCUUAUCUCAGCUGCUGUGUUGAUAUUAACUCUAAGGAUAUAUUUAUCUGGAAAAAAAUAGUUACUAAGUGCAGUUAAAAAAAUGAAAUCUUUUGUUCAAACUUUCUGCAUUUUUGCAUCUGUACCAUAUUUUUCAUUACUGCUUUAACAGAACUUAAGUCACGUUGAUUUCCAUUUUAUUUGGGGAAAGUAUAGUUUUUCUAAUGUGAUUCUUUUUGAAUAAUGUUCACUAAUUUGUCCAAGUAUUAAAUAUCGCAUAAGUAGCUGUUUCAAUUUUUCAAUAUAGAAAAUUAGUUCACUCUUUUAAACCUAAAUAAAGGGAAACAAGGGGAGGUGGAAUAGAGUUGAAGGUGAUGAUAAAGAUUGGCUA